AUGGCUCAGGAUGAACGCUAGCGGCAGGCUUAACACAUGCAAGUCGAGGGGCAUCGGGAGUAGCAAUACUUGCCGGCGACCGGCGCAAGGGUGCGUAACGCGUGAGCAACAUGCCCGUAUCAGGGGGAUAAUCCAUGGAAACGUGGUCUAAUACCCCAUAGUAAUUAUGUAAGGCAUCUUAUAUAAUUUAAAGCUUUGGUGGAUACGGAUUGGCUCGCGUGACAUUAGCUAGAUGGUAAGGUAACGGCUUACCAUGGCUACGAUGUCUAGGGGUUCUGAGAGGAAGGCCCCCCACACUGGAACUGAGACACGGUCCAGACUCCUACGGGAGGCAGCAGUGAGGAAUGUUGGACAAUGGAUGGAAAUCUGAUCCAGCCAUGCCGCGUGCAGGAAAGACGGCCCUAUGGGUUGUAAACUGCUUUUGUAUGGGAGCAAUAAGGGCUACGCGUAGUCCGAUGAGAGUACCAUACGAAUAAGCACCGGCUAACUCCGUGCCAGCCGCAGC
rnacentral:rRNA from 1 species